rnacentral:rRNA from 1 species
GAUGAACGCUGGCGGCGUGCCUAAUACAUGCCAGUCGAGCGAACAGACGAGGAGCUUGCUCCUUUGACGUUAGCGGCGGACGGGUGAGUAACACGUAGGUAACCUACCUAUAAGACUGGGAUAACUUCGGGAAACCGGAGCUAAUACCGGAUAAUAUUUCGAACCGCAUGGUUCGAUAGUGAAAGAUGGCUUUGCUAUCACUUAUAGAUGGACCUGCGCCGUAUUAGCUAGUUGGUAAGGUAACGGCUUACCAAGGCAACGAUACGUAGCCGACCUGAGAGGGUGAUCGGCCACACUGGAACUGAGACACGGUCCAGACUCCUACGGGAGGCAGCAGUAGGGAAUCUUCCGCAAUGGGCGAAAGCCUGACGGAGCAACGCCGCGUGAGUGAUGAAGGUCUUCGGAUCGUAAAACUCUGUUAUUAGAGAAGAACAAACGUGUAAGUAACUGUGCACGUCUUGACGGUACCUAAUCAGAAAGCCACGGCUAACUACGUG